GAUGAAGAACGUAGCGAAACGCGAUAAGUAAUGUGAAUUGCAGAAUCCAGUGAAUCAUCGAAUCUUUGAACGCACAUUGCGCCCGCCAGCAUUCUGGCGGGCAUGCCUGUUCGAGCGUCAUUUCAACCCUCGACCUCCCCUUGGGGAGGUCGGCGUUGGGGACCGGCAGCACACCGCCGGCCCUGAAAUGGAGUGGCGGCCCGUCCGCGGCGACCUCUGCGCAGUAAUACAGCUCGCACCGGGACCCCGACGCGGCCACGCCGUAAAACCCCCAACUUCUGAACGUUGACCUCGAAUCAGGUAGGGAUACCCGCUGAACUUAAGCAUAUAAUAAGCGGAGGA
rnacentral:misc_RNA from 1 species